GAUGAAGAACGUAGCGAAAUGCGAUAAGUAAUGUGAAUUGCAGAAUUCAGUGAAUCAUCGAAUCUUUGAACGCACAUUGCGCCCGGUAGUAUUCUGCCGGGCAUGCCUGUUCGAGCGUCAUUUCAACCAUCAAGCCCCAGCGCUUGUGUUGGGGGCCUGCGGCUGCCGCAGCCCCCCAAAAGCAGUGGCGGGCUCGCUAUCACACCGAGUGCAGUAGUUCAUCUUCUCACCGGUCUUGUGAGGCGGGUUCCGGCCGUGAACCACCCCACUACAUUCAAGGUUGACCUCGGAUCAGGUAGGAAUACCCGCUGAACUUAAGCAUAUCAAUAAGCGGAUGA
rnacentral:misc_RNA from 1 species